GCGGGGAUAGCUCAGUUGGGAGAGUGUCAGACUGAAGAUCUGAAGGUCACGUGUUCGAUCCACGUUUCACUGCA